rnacentral:rRNA from 1 species
AGAGUUUGAUCCUGGCUCAGGAUGAACGCUGGCGGCGUGCUUAACACAUGCAAGUCGAACGAUCCUUCGGGAUAGUGGCGGACGGGUGAGUAACGCGUGGGAAUCUGCCCUUAGGAGGGGGAUAACGGCUGGAAACGGCCGCUAAUACCCCAUAUGCCGAGAGGUGAAACGAAUUUCGCCUGAGGAUGAGCCCGCGUCUGAUUAGCUAGUUGGUAGGGUAAAGGCUUACCAAGGCGACGAUCAGUAGCUGGUCUGAGAGGAUGAUCAGCCACACUGGGACUGAGACACGGCCCAGACUCCUACGGGAGGCAGCAGUGGGGAAUUUUCCGCAAUGGGCGAAAGCCUGACGGAGCAACGCCGCGUGAGGGAUGAAGGCCUCUGGGCUGUAAACCUCUUUUCCCAAGGAAGAAGACCUGACGGUACUUGAGGAAUAAGCCACGGCUAAUUCCGUGCCAGCAGCCGCGGUAAUACGGGAGUGGCAAGCGUUAUCCGGAAUUAUUGGGCGUAAAGCGUCCGCAGGCGGCUCUGUAAGUCUGUUGUUAAAGCGUGGAGCUCAACUCCAUUUCAGCAAUGGAAACUACAGGGCUUGAGUGUGGUAGGGGCAGAGGGAAUUCCCGGUGUAGCGGUGAAAUGCGUAGAUAUCGGGAAGAACACCAGUGGCGAAGGCGCUCUGCUGGGCCAUAACUGACGCUCAUGGACGAAAGCCAGGGGAGCGAAAGGGAUUAGAUACCCCUGUAGUCCUGGCCGUAAACGAUGAACACUAGGUGUCGGGGGAAUCGACCCCUCCGGUGUCGUAGCCAACGCGUUAAGUGUUCCGCCUGGGGAGUACGCACGCAAGUGUGAAACCCAAAGGAAUUGACGGGGGCCCGCACAAGCGGUGGAGUAUGUGGUUUAAUUCGAUACAACGCGAAGAACCUUACCAGGGUUUGACAUCCUGCGAAUCCCUUGGAAACGAGGGAGUGCCUUCGGGAGCGCAGUGACAGGUGGUGCAUGGCUGUCGUCAGCUCGUGUCGUGAGAUGUUGGGUUAAGUCCCGCAACGAGCGCAACCCACGUCUUUAGUUGCCAGCAUUCAGUUGGGCACUCUAGAGAGACCGCCGGUGAUAAACCGGAGGAAGGUGUGGAUGACGUCAAGUCAUCAUGCCCCUUACAUCCUGGGCUACACACGUACUACAAUGCUACGGACAAAGGGCAGCAAGCUCGCGAGAGUUAGCAAAUCCCAUAAACCGUGGCUCAGUUCAGAUCGUAGGCUGCAACUCGCCUACGUGAAGGAGGAAUCGCUAGUAAUCGCAGGUCAGCAUACUGCGGUGAAUACGUUCCCGGGCCUUGUACACACCGCCCGUCACACCAUGGAAGUUGGCCAUGCCCGAAGUCGUUACUCCAACCCUUGUGGAGGAGGACGCCGAAGGUGGGGCUGAUGACUGGGGUGAAGUCGUAACAAGGUA